UGAACGCUGGCGGCAUGCCUUACACAUGCAAGUCGAACGGCAGCACGGGUGCUUGCACCUGGUGGCGAGUGGCGAACGGGUGAGUAAUACAUCGGAACAUGUCCUGUAGUGGGGGAUAGCCCGGCGAAAGCCGGAUUAAUACCGCAUACGAUCUACGGAUGAAAGCGGGGGACCUUCGGGCCUCGCGCUAUAGGGUUGGCCGAUGGCUGAUUAGCUAGUUGGUGGGGUAAAGGCCUACCAAGGCGACGAUCAGUAGCUGGUCUGAGAGGACGACCAGCCACACUGGGACUGAGACACGGCCCAGACUCCUACGGGAGGCAGCAGUGGGGAAUUUUGGACAAUGGGCGAAAGCCUGAUCCAGCAAUGCCGCGUGUGUGAAGAAGGCCUUCGGGUUGUAAAGCACUUUUGUCCGGAAAGAAAUCCUUGGCUCUAAUACAGUCGGGGGAUGACGGUACCGGAAGAAUAAGCACCGGCUAACUACGUGCCAGCAGCCGCGGUAAUACGUAGGGUGCGAGCGUUAAUCGGAAUUACUGGGCGUAAAGCGUGCGCAGGCGGUUUGCUAAGACCGAUGUGAAAUCCCCGGGCUCAACCUGGGAACUGCAUUGGUGACUGGCAGGCUAGAGUAUGGCAGAGGGGGGGUAGAAUUCCACGUGUAGCAGUGAAAUGCGUAGAGAUGUGGAGGAAUACCGAUGGCGAAGGCAGCCCCCUGGGCCAAUACUGACGCUCAUGCACGAAAGCGUGGGGGAGCAAACAGGAUUAGAUACCCUGGUAGUCCACGCCCUAAACGAUGUCAACUAGUUGUUGGGGAUUCAUUUCCUUUAGUAACGUAGCUAACGCGUGAAGUUGACCGCCUGGGGAGUACGGUCGCAAGAUUAAAACUCAAAGGAAUUGACGGGGACCCGCACAAGCGGUGGAUGAUGUGGAUUAAUUCGAUGCAACGCGAAAAACCUUACCUACCCUUGACAUGGUCGGAAUCCCGCUGAGAGGUGGGAGUGCUCGAAAGAGAACCGGCGCACAGGUGCUGCAUGGCUGUCGUCAGCUCGUGUCGUGAGAUGUUGGGUUAAGUCCCGCAACGAGCGCAACCCUUGUCCUUAGUUGCUACGCAAGAGCACUCUAAGGAGACUGCCGGUGACAAACCGGAGGAAGGUGGGGAUGACGUCAAGUCCUCAUGGCCCUUAUGGGUAGGGCUUCACACGUCAUACAAUGGUCGGAACAGAGGGUUGCCAACCCGCGAGGGGGAGCUAAUCCCAGAAAACCGAUCGUAGUCCGGAUUGCACUCUGCAACUCGAGUGCAUGAAGCUGGAAUCGCUAGUAAUCGCGGAUCAGCAUGCCGCGGUGAAUACGUUCCCGGGUCUUGUACACACCGCCC
rnacentral:rRNA from 1 species